CAGAGGUGGCAAGCGUUGUUCGGAAUUACUGGGCGUAAAGGGCGAGUAGGCGGCCAUCUAAGUCAGACGUGAAAUCCCCCGGCUUAACCUGGGAACUGCGUCUGAUACUGGACGGCUUGAGUUUGGGAGAGGGAUGCAGAAUUCCAGGUGUAGCGGUGAAAUGCGUAGAUAUCUGGAGGAAUACCGGUGGCGAAGGCGGCAUCCUGGACCAACACUGACGCUGAGACGCGAAAGCUAGGGGAGCAAACGGGAUUAGAUACCCCGGUAGUCCUAGCCCUAAACGAUGAAUGCUUGGUGUGGCGGGUAUCGAUCCCUGCCGUGCCGAAGCUAACGCAUUAAGCAUUCCGCCUGGGGAGUACGGUCGCAAGGCUG
rnacentral:rRNA from 1 species